rnacentral:lncRNA from 1 species
GGGGAGGCGCUCAGCAUUCGGGUAAUUAAGGUUGCAAAAUGGCGAGGGGGGAGGUAAGCUGUCUUUGCUUGGCCAUCUUGGGCUAGCAGGCCUUGCAGAGAACUACCUUUUUAGCUGAGUGAAGGGAUCAACCUGAGUUGGAGUUCUCCUAUGCUGUGGCCAGAUCCACUAGAAAUUAACCCAGAAUCUUAGCCUCUCAGUGGCCUAUCGGUGAUGCCACACUCAAUCAGAAACUAUGCUACUGCUGAAGAGGUAUAUUGAGCCCUGCCUGGUUAACCUCCAGUGAGGUUAUUAGAGAAUUGGGAGAGGCUCAAAUCAGCAUCCUGCACCUAGUUAUCAAACCAUUGUGAAGUCUUGAUUCCUGGAUGGCCAGAAAACUUGUCAUUGGUCAAGAGCAACAUUAAGAUCUGCCUGUUACUCAUACUGAUGCUUCCUGCCCAGCAAGUUCAUCAGAGGGCGAGGAUGAAUUACGGUUGCCAUGAAUGUCCUUGUGAGGCAGUUGGGAAGCCUUGGCUGGAUUGUGAAGGAUAUUUGAAAAGUAUUUUAGAGUCCACCAGAUCAUCCAUGUGAGUGACCAUGCAGCAAAAGAAGGAGGGUCCUCUCAGUGAUUAAGGAUUAUGAAGUAUUAAUUCUUCCACUGAUAUCUCAAAAGGUGAUCUGGACAAAGGAACAGGUAUCUCAGAUUCCCAGUUCUCAAUCUUCCUUCCUCCUUACAAGAUACAAGCAACCUUCAACCUUCCCAGAGAUGGUCUCUGUAUAUGAAAGACAAUGGUCUUAUUAUGAAGUCGGCAUAUUUAUAGCUUGAUAAAAACUGAAAAAUCUGUAGCCUAUUUUUAAUAGUGAUAUAUAAGGAAAUAACAUAAAUAAAAAUUUGGCAACAAGAAUCCAGGAGCAAAUUUAUGAUCAAUACACAAUUGGGCAAGUGGUGUUCAUACCAACCAUGCAAAAAUGGUUCAAUUUUAGGAAAUCUUUGAAUAUAGCUUUUAGUAGGUCAGAGGAAAUCAGUAUCUCAAAGUACUUUCAUGAUUUAGUUAUUUUUAAGUUAUUGAUCAUUUUGGAUUUUAUUUUGAGGUUGAUAGCCAUAUAAUGAUUUCACAUUUUAUUUUAAAUGGCUAGCUGUUGUCCCAAUACUAUUUACUGAAAAAUCUACAUUUUGCUCACUCUUUUUUUUUUUUUUUAAGAGACAGGGUUUUACCAUGUUGCCCAGGCUAGAUUUGAACUCCUGGGCUCAAGUGAUCCUCUCGACCCAGCCUCCUGAGUAUCUGUGACUGCAGGCAAGUACCCCUGUGCCUGCUCACUUAUUUAAAGUUCUACACAUCAAAUACUAAAUUCUCAUCUAUUUGACUUCUGGACUCACUGGUUGGUGUCAUUGACUGUCUUUUCCUGUGAUAGCAUAGAAUUAUUUUGAUUGUGGAAGUACUAUAAAUGUUGCUAUUUAUUGUGCCUCUUGCUGCCUAUCUAUAUUUAGACUCAUUUA